rnacentral:rRNA from 1 species
GAUGAACGCUAGCUACAGGCUUAACACAUGCAAGUCGAGGGGCAGCGCAGUGUAGCAAUACAUGGGCGGCGACCGGCGCACGGGUGCGUAACGCGUAUCCAACCUUCCUGUUACUCAGGGAUAGCCUUCCGAAAGGGAGAUUAAUACCUGAUGGUGUUCAAAUUCCGCAUGUUAUUUGAACUAAAGAUUUAUCGGUAACGGAUGGGGAUGCGUGACAUUAGAUAGUAGGCGGGGUAACGGCCCACCUAGUCUACGAUGUCUAGGGGUUCUGAGAGGAAGGUCCCCCACACUGGAACUGAGACACGGUCCAGACUCCUACGGGAGGCAGCAGUGAGGAAUAUUGGUCAAUGGUCGGAAGACUGAACCAGCCAAGUAGCGUGAAGGAUGAAGGUUCUAUGGAUUGUAAACUUCUUUUAUACGGGAAUAAAACCUCCCACGUGUGGGAGCUUGUAUGUACCGUAUGAAUAAGCAUCGACUAACUCCGUGCCAGCAGCCGCCGUAAAAC